rnacentral:rRNA from 1 species
GAUGAACGCUGGCGGCGUGCCUAAUACAUGCAAGUCGAGCGAACGGACGAGAAGCUUGCUUCUCUGAUGUUAGCGGCGGACGGGUGAGUAACACGUGGAUAACCUACCUAUAAGACUGGGAUAACUUCGGGAAACCGUAGCUAAUACCGGAUAAUAUUUUGAACCGCAUGGUUCAAAAGUGAAAGACGGUCUUGCUGUCACUUAUAGAUGGAUCCGCGCUGCAUUAGCUAGUUGGUAAGGUAACGGCUUACCAAGGCAACGAUGCAUAGCCGACCUGAGAGGGUGAUCGGCCACACUGGAACUGAGAAACGGUCCAGACUCCUACGGGAGGCAGCAGUAGGGAAUCUUCCGCAAUGGGCGAAAGCCUGACGGAGCAACGCCGCGUGAGUGAUGAAGGUCUUCGGAUCGUAAAACUCUGUUAUUAGGGAAGAACAUAUGUGUAAGUAACUGUGCACAUCUUGACGGUACCUAAUCAGAAAGCCACGGCUAACUACGU